UCCCAGCCGUAACCUCCCUUUCUUCUUUCUCGACAUAUUCUCCUCCUUACUUCUCCCACAGAACUUCUUCAAUUUCUUCUUUUACUCUUGUUCCAAAGGAAAACAGCCCCAAUUCCCCUUUAAUAUAUAUCCAUUCACGAACAAGGUUGACGGGGUUUCAAAUGGAACAAACCUGGUUUAACUGUUUGGAGUAGGAGUGGUGCUUUGAAGGAGAAGUAAAUCCAGCCCUUCAGCAUUGUCCAAUUCAAUUUAUUUAAGGUAUAUUCUCAACCCAUGAAUUUGGAGAACGGCAUUGUAUCGUAUCUGUAUGUUAGAUUAAGGUAAAAUUAUUUAGGGCUCUGAGUAUACAAUUGGGAUUUCGUAGUUGCUCACGGGUAGUACGACAUAAGAUUAUAGUUGCUGAAGGUUGAAAUUUAAUUUUGGUGAUUCAGAUUUGACGGGUGAAGGUUCGUUGGGUUGUCGCGAAAUUGCUGAGGACGGUCCAGUUGGCUCGUUAUAGCUGUGAGUGAUUUUUCAAUCACUGUGACUUACUUUUAAUAAUUAUACGACUGAUGAUUUGAUUAUUUUAGCAUAUUGCAUAUUUAUUUAAAUUGGGGAAACAUACUUUACAAUUCGUGAAUUAUCUGAAAGCUGGUUUUAUGAAAAUGAUCUGAGUCUGAUUCUGAACUGACAUGAGAAAUAUAUUUAUAUUGUUUUGAUUUUGGAAAUUAUGUGAAACUGAGAUUGUGAAAUUGGAAAGUUGAUUUUGGGACUUCUGAUGAGACUUGAACUGGUUUGAGAAAACGGUUUUGGGGAUCCUUGAUAGAACCCCGUAGCCGUUAGCGGAGGUAACGGCCUAGGUGCACCUAGCUAGUUUGAUUUCGGGAGGAGAGGGCUAUCCGUUAGAUGGAGCCGCCAGUGCACGGAAAGGGCUAUCAACGAGAUGUAGCUUCCCCCGAUGAUAUGAUACGAUGUGACAUGUGAUACGAGAGAGGAAAUGGCUAUCCGUUAGAUGGAGCCGCCCCUAUCGGAUAGGCUAUCCCUUAGGAGGAGAGGGCUAUCAACGAGAUGGAGCCGCCUCACGGUUCUACAUGUGUGACCCUAUUAAAUUAUAUUUCUGAUUUUUAAAUGCUUUCAUAUGACUGACAUGAUUUUUAUUCAGUUUCAUUGAAACAGUUAUUUAUAAACUUGGCAGUUUGAUCAUCUCUUAUUGGAAAUGCUGCUUAUUAAUUUUAUUAAUAUGAUAUAUUUUAUCCACUCUGAACUGAUAGUGAAAAACUCGUGCUUCAUAUGUUUCCCUUUCCUGUUCAUGGUGGUUGUUAAAUCCUCACUAAGUCUUUGUGACUUACCCCUUUAUUAUUCCAUCCACAGAUUCUUCAGCAGCUGUGUAGCAAGCUGUUCUUGGAUUCAGAUUGUCAGUUGUCUUGCUGGUAGGCCUCCAUCAGCUGGUGGCCUCAUUGCUAUGUUACUUCUUUGAUUCUAGUUAUCUGCAGCUAUAGGGAGUCAUAAGUGAAUUUAGUUUGGGGUGGACGGUAUCUUCUUAAUUUUAAAGGUUGACAUUGAGCGUCGAAUUUUGGUUUUGUACCUUUUCUUGAAAUUUGGAUUUGGAGAAUAUUAUUUAGCAGGUUAUGUUAUUUUGAGAUUACUGAAAUACAAAGGAGACUCUGUCUUUUUUUAUAAAUUUAUGCGGACGUAUUUAUCGUGGUGAAUUGGUUAUAAAUGGGUUAUGUGUAAAGGGCUUGCCGGACUUGGGUGAUAGUCUGUGCGCCGGUCACGGCUUGAGAUUUUUGGGUCGUGACAAAGUUGGUAUCAGAGCUUUGGCUGUAGGUCCUAUUAGCUGCAGACAUGAGGUAGUGAUAUAAUCUUUCUAGUAAAUUGUGAACCGCGGCACAACUUACUUCAAAGAUGCUAUUAACGCCCCAUGAGAGUCCUAAAGUUGUUUCCAAAGUGUGAUUUGAGUUUGUUCCUCAUUCACUGAAUUCUGAGUCAUGUGUUAUGUUUGAUGAAUAUUCUUUGUUCUGUGAGGAUACCACCUAAAUUAGGAUUUCUAUUCGAAGACGAUUAGCUUGUUAGGUCCCUCUGUAGGCAUUUAUGGUCGGCAGUGUUCGACAGUGUAGUACAAGGUAAAGACCAUCGCAUAAAGACGUUGGUUGUUCGUUGAUGUAGGAAUAGUUAAGGUGUUUAUAUCGAGACAAUGAAAUUCAUGAAUGAUAGAGUUUGCAACUGGUUUGAAGGGAUUACUACAUGAUGUGAAACGAUGUAUUGGAGUUGUUAUUGAGCAGCAACAAGAGAACCAACUCGAGACAAUUUAGGAGCGUUGACCAAGGGUUAGACAAAAGGAGAAACAACAAGUAGGUGUCAUUGGAGAGAUUGAUGUCAUAUUGGUUGUUCACAUUAAGCUUAAUUCUCAUGUUUUUUCUAGUACUAGUGCAAUCGUGGAUCAUAGGGGUUUAUUGAUGCUUUUGAGAGUCUGUGGAGAGCACUUGGAUGCUCACACAUGCAAUAGAGUUAACAUCAUUCCAGUUGAAGGUUGUAGAAUAUGAUUGCCUUGAUGACUUUGUGAGUACGAGAGCGGUAAAGGAUUUGGUAGUCGAGGUUAGAAGCCAAGCUUGAGUCAUUAUUGUUACUCGUCAGGAUACUCAGGAAACCAAUGCAGUGGUCACGAGAUUAGUUCGAUAUGUCCUUGAGAUAUUCAUGUUUGUUUGAUCCUGAAGCUAUUCUCUCUUUGGUAUAAUUGUUGUUCACUUCUUAACUUAAUACAUUAUAUCCUUCUUGAACAUGACGUUGAUUGUUGCUACACUUCUUAGAGAGUUUUUAUAGAUGAUUAUGUUCAUUGUUAACUUGAGGCAUCCAUUAGGGAUUGAGAGUUGUUGGUAGGAAUGAUAGCUUUAAACAUUUUUUAUUUUGAUGUGAUCUCUGGGUAUCAUGAUGUUUUGGACUGGAAUAGCAAAGUAAUGAGAUUUGAAUUACUUAGAGAGUUUCUUUCUUAUUUAGGGAGAGUGAAGUUGGGAACCAUGUAAUCUAAUUUUAGUGUCGAAGUUAGAAGGUUACUAACGAAGGGUUGUCAUGGAUACUUGACUUUGGGUAAAGGAUACUCAAGCAGUUGAAAUAAAAACAAAAGAGAUUCUCGUAGUGUGUGAAAUUCUUAAUGCAUUUUGGGAGAAUUUCCUAAGGUACCAUAAAGUUUUCCAUAAAUCUGGUUCUUGACACUAGUUUUGUUUGUGAAGAAGAAAUAUCUACUAUGCAGUUAACUAUGCAGUUAUGUGAUGACUACAUGCAAUUGGAUUAUGUGACAAUACCUAACAAAUCUCUUUUACCUCAUUUAGAUGAAUGGUCUGAUUGAUGAUAAGGAGCUCAACAUUUUGAAAGAAAAAAAAGAAAGGGACUUGGUGAUGUUUAAAGUGGCUAUGUUUCACAGUUUCCAAUAGACUUUGAUGAUGUUUUACAAUUUUAAUAUUGGUUGUGUGUGCUUAAUAGGAACUCUAUUUCACAGUUUCACAGUUCCUAUGUUUCAUAGGAACUUUGUGCUGUUCAAAGGUGGGGGGUUGGAAUUUUCAGGACCUCUUGAUCAUAUCAAGUUUAGAUCAUGGUUGUGGCUUAAGGCCAGGAAUGAAUGGUUUAGCGCUUCAUUUGUUGAAUGGAGCAUGGACUCUCUUUCUGUUUUCUAGAAACUACAUAAAUUCAGCCAAGAACUUUGAUCGUUUGGUCUCUCGUUGUGUUGCUGUGAAACUGGUUUAGUGCUGUUGUCAGUUUAAAUUUGAUUGUGCUGGUAGAGUGGUAGGGAUUAUAGUGAUCCAAUUCAAGGUCCAUUUCUGCUGGGGGAACGUGGCUUCCAUAAAAUUAAUUAGGGACACAAAUCUUCCUUGGUUCUGAAUAUAUUGGUGGUUGGAGAUCAUUGUUACUUCUCUUAUUGGUUACAUGUUGUUCUGUAGCAGGUCCAAUUCAUUUCCCUGGGCAUGUGUUGAUGGUUUUAAUAGCACCAUGAAUAAGUUCCGCAUUGUGGGUUGGAAGGGUCUGUAGGUGGAAUAUCUAAGUGUGUCUUCUACAUUGCUAAGGUAGAAUUUUCCAUUUAAUUUGUCUCCUAGAUUGAUCCUUUUGUACUUGGGUUAGGGCACCCCUUGUGCUCCCUAUUAAUUCAUUUGCUUAUAAAAAAAAAAAGAGUUUGAGGAGGGAAAUAUUAGAGGACUUCUAUCAUUAUUUUUAAACCAUACAUUCUAGUUCUAGUAGACUGUAUCAAGAUGUGAAGGAAUUUUGUCGGUGCGAAGGAAUGAAGAAAGACAUAGUGAAUUUUGUUUAUAAAUGUUUAGUAUGACAUGGAUUGAAGGAUAAGCACUAAGAACUAGAAGAGCUAGGUCAAUUUAUCGAGAUAUCACUAUGGAAGUUGGAAAGUAUUGUUGUGAAUUUGGUGACAAGUUUUUUUAGGAUCAAAGGUUAUGAUUAUAUUUAGGUAAUCAUGGAUUAGUUGAUUAAGUUUGCAUAUUUCUUAUAAGUGAACACUACUUACAUUGCAACUCAAUAUGCUAAGUGUCGUUUGGAUGAGAUUAUUUCUUGCAUGGUGUACCCUUAGUUAUGUGUUCAUAUUGAGGAACUAUAUUCACUUUUUAGUUUUUCAAAUCGUUUCGAACUGCUUUAGGAACUCACUUGACAAUGAGGAUAGGUUUCCAUUCCCAAACAGGUGGCCAUUCUUAGAGACUAUUCAAAUCUUAUAGGAUAUGUUUCGUGUUUGUGUUUUAGACCUUAGAGAUAGUUGUGAUGAUUAUUUAACCCGGAUCAAGCUUGAUUAUAAUAACAAUUAUCAGUCUUGUAUUAAGAUGGCACCAUUUGAAGCCUUAUAUGGUAGGAGAUGAAGAUCACCUAUAGGUUGGUUCGAGGUUGGAGAAGCUAAACUUGUAGGCUCAGAACUUAUUCAGGACGCAAUAGAGAAGAUUAAGAUAGUUCGAGACCGCUUGGUUACAACUCAAAGUAGGCAGAAGUCAUAUGCUGAUAAGAGGCGACGCCCUUUGGAGUUUGCAGUUGGUGACCAUGUCUUUUUACGUGUUUCUCCAAUGAAAGGAGUGCUACGGUUUGGUAAAAAGGGAAAACUGAGUCCAAGGUUCAUUGGACCGUUUGAGGUAUUGGAGAGGGUUGGUUCUGUAUCUUAUCGUUUGGCACUUCCGCCAGAUCUUUCUGCAGUUCAUCCAGUCUUUCAUGUUUCUAUGCUGCGGAAGUACCUAUAUGAUCCUUCUCACAUCAUCCAUCAUGAGGAUGUACACGGAGCAUCCAGUAGCUAUAGUUGAUAGACAAGUGAAACGUCUACGUUCUAAAGAUGUUGGUUCAGUAAAAGUUCUUUGGAAAGGACCAUCGAGUGAAGAGGCGACUUGGGAGGCCGAGGAUAUCAUGCGGGAAAAGUAUCCCCACUUGUUCGAAUCUCAAGGUUAGUGUGACUUUAAAAUUCGAGGACGAAUUUUAUAUAAGGAGGGAAGAUUGAAACGACCCGUUUAAUGUUUAUGAGCUUAAUUAUUAUAAUUGUCAUUAUCAUAUUAUAUUAUAUAAAAGUGAUUAUGCAAGGAUGGGGGAGGAAAAAAAAAAACGUGGUCUGAUUGAAAAGGGGGUGGGGUCACGUAACCCACCUUUUGUUUUUGAAAAUAAGAUACCCUAAUUGUUUAAAGAAAAACCAUUGAACCUACUCCCAAUAUUUCUUUCCCAGCCGUAACCUCCCUUUCUUCUUUCUCGACAUAUUCUCCUCCUUACUUCUCCCACAGAACUUCUUCAAUUUCUUCUUUUACUCUUGUUCCAAAGGAAAACAGCCCCAAUUCCCCUUUAAUAUAUAUCCAUUCACGAACAAGGUUGACGGGGUUUCAAAUGGAACAAACCUGGUUUAACUGUUUGGAGUAGGAGUGGUGCUUUGAAGGAGAAGUAAAUCCAGCCCUUCAGCAUUGUCCAAUUCAAUUUAUUUAAGGUAUAUUCUCAACCCAUGAAUUUGGAGAACGGCAUUGUAUCGUAUCUGUAUGUUAGAUUAAGGUAAAAUUAUUUAGGGCUCUGAGUAUACAAUUGGGAUUUCGUAGUUGCUCACGGGUAGUACGACAUAAGAUUAUAGUUGCUGAAGGUUGAAAUUUAAUUUUGGUGAUUCAGAUUUGACGGGUGAAGGUUCGUUGGGUUGUCGCGAAAUUGCUGAGGACGGUCCAGUUGGCUCGUUAUAGCUGUGAGUGAUUUUUCAAUCACUGUGACUUACUUUUAAUAAUUAUACGACUGAUGAUUUGAUUAUUUUAGCAUAUUGCAUAUUUAUUUAAAUUGGGGAAACAUACUUUACAAUUCGUGAAUUAUCUGAAAGCUGGUUUUAUGAAAAUGAUCUGAGUCUGAUUCUGAACUGACAUGAGAAAUAUAUUUAUAUUGUUUUGAUUUUGGAAAUUAUGUGAAACUGAGAUUGUGAAAUUGGAAAGUUGAUUUUGGGACUUCUGAUGAGACUUGAACUGGUUUGAGAAAACGGUUUUGGGGAUCCUUGAUAGAACCCCGUAGCCGUUAGCGGAGGUAACGGCCUAGGUGCACCUAGCUAGUUUGAUUUCGGGAGGAGAGGGCUAUCCGUUAGAUGGAGCCGCCAGUGCACGGAAAGGGCUAUCAACGAGAUGUAGCUUCCCCCGAUGAUAUGAUACGAUGUGACAUGUGAUACGAGAGAGGAAAUGGCUAUCCGUUAGAUGGAGCCGCCCCUAUCGGAUAGGCUAUCCCUUAGGAGGAGAGGGCUAUCAACGAGAUGGAGCCGCCUCACGGUUCUACAUGUGUGACCCUAUUAAAUUAUAUUUCUGAUUUUUAAAUGCUUUCAUAUGACUGACAUGAUUUUUAUUCAGUUUCAUUGAAACAGUUAUUUAUAAACUUGGCAGUUUGAUCAUCUCUUAUUGGAAAUGCUGCUUAUUAAUUUUAUUAAUAUGAUAUAUUUUAUCCACUCUGAACUGAUAGUGAAAAACUCGUGCUUCAUAUGUUUCCCUUUCCUGUUCAUGGUGGUUGUUAAAUCCUCACUAAGUCUUUGUGACUUACCCCUUUAUUAUUCCAUCCACAGAUUCUUCAGCAGCUGUGUAGCAAGCUGUUCUUGGAUUCAGAUUGUCAGUUGUCUUGCUGGUAGGCCUCCAUCAGCUGGUGGCCUCAUUGCUAUGUUACUUCUUUGAUUCUAGUUAUCUGCAGCUAUAGGGAGUCAUAAGUGAAUUUAGUUUGGGGUGGACGGUAUCUUCUUAAUUUUAAAGGUUGACAUUGAGCGUCGAAUUUUGGUUUUGUACCUUUUCUUGAAAUUUGGAUUUGGAGAAUAUUAUUUAGCAGGUUAUGUUAUUUUGAGAUUACUGAAAUACAAAGGAGACUCUGUCUUUUUUUAUAAAUUUAUGCGGACGUAUUUAUCGUGGUGAAUUGGUUAUAAAU
rnacentral:lncRNA from 1 species